rnacentral:rRNA from 2 species
AGAUGUGAUCAUACUAGAACUAAUACACCGUAUCCAAUCAAAACUUCGCAGUUAACUAUUUCCAUUGCGUGCUUGGACAACAGUAGUACUAGGAUGAGUGACCUCCUGGAAGUCCUGGUAUUGCACCUC